rnacentral:rRNA from 1 species
UACGUAGGUGGCAAGCGUUAUCCGGAUUUACUGGGUGUAAAGGGCGUGUAGGCGGGGAAGCAAGUCAGAUGUGAAAACCACGGGCUCAACCUGUGGCCUGCAUUUGAAACUGUUUUUCUUGAGUGCUGGAGAGGCAAUCGGAAUUCCGUGUGUAGCGGUGAAAUGCGUAGAUAUACGGAGGAACACCAGUGGCGAAGGCGGAUUGCUGGACAGUAACUGACGCUGAGGCGCGAAAGCGUGGGUAGCAAACAGG